UACGGAGGGGGCUAGCGUUGUUCGGAAUUACUGGGCGUAAAGCGCACGUAGGCGGCUUUGUAAGUUAGAGGUGAAAGCCCGGAGCUCAACUCCGGAACUGCCAUUGAAACUGUGAGACUGGAGUACGAGAGGGGUGAGUGGAAUUCCCAGUGUAGAGGUGAAAUUCGUAGAUAUUGGGAAGAACACCGGUGGCGAAGGCGGCUCACUGGCUCGUAACUGACGCUCAGGCGCGACAGCGUGGGGAUCAAACAGG
rnacentral:rRNA from 1 species